rnacentral:misc_RNA from 1 species
AAGUCGUAACAAGGUUUCCGUAGGUGAACCUGCGGAAGGAUCAUUAUUGUUUAGGGGGCCUCACCGCCCCUUUGCAACGAUGCAACCCUUUGUUCUUGCCGUAACGUUUGUUUCCCUCGGUGCCUCCGGGCGCCAGAUGGGACCUUUUAAACCCUUUGCAAUCGAGUUAUUUCAGUCGCAGAAAUUAUCAAAACUUUCAACAAUGGAUCUCUUGGCUCUG